rnacentral:misc_RNA from 1 species
GGUGAAUUAAGUAAAUCUUUAAUGUAGUUAAACUUUAAAAUAUAUGGACUUGGAUAAUACUUAAAAGUCCUUGAACCUCAACAAAGGAUAUGACAAGUAUGGACCAACUAAAAAUGCGUGUACAACAAACGUUCUAUUCUGACUAUUAAAUUCAAUCAAGGGGUCUUACUAUCAUAGACACUUUUUACGGGAUUUGUAACAUAAAGAGAAUCAAUCCAGUGGGAGAGGUCAUGGAAAGCACAUUUGUAGCAACCAAUUGACAGUUAUAAUUUCAGAACGCUAUCAAAUUUUGAUGUCCUAUAAUUUCACUAUUAAACCCUAUAGGACAAACACUCAAUUUUCUACAGCAAAUGCAUAUGAACAAUCUGACAAAACUAAUCAAUUGAGAGAUAGAGAAAACUGAACUACAUUUAUAUGAAGCUGAAACCUACA